UGUUUAAAACGGAGCUACUCAUGAACUCCUACCUUCUAAAUCUGUUUUUCUUAUAGUUUCCAUUUCAGUCAGUGUCCCUGUCAUCUCCUCAGUUACUGGGGGCUUCUUUCAAUCCAUCUUCUACAUUAGUAUAGAAGUGCCUGUUUCAAAAUGAAAAUCUUAUGUCAUACUGCCAUCUAAAAAUCCUCUUAUUAUUUCUAGUAAAUCAGAACUUUUUCAGCUUCAAAUUCAUAUACAUUGAGCAACGCAAAGAAAUACUCUCCCUAAAAUAAAAAUGACUAAUUCUCCAUCUCCUAAUUGUUAUUCAAAACACAUUCUUUAUAAGUAUACCUAAACACAUUUUUGCAAUACUAAAAGCAUCUGGAGAUAUAUAGCACUUACCUUGCUAUUAAUUUAAAUGCAAUCCUCAGCUGUAUUUUUAUGAAUUAAUAAAAAUGUUAUUUGGGCAAUCUGGGUUUUGCAGUUAAUCAAGAG
rnacentral:lncRNA from 1 species